AAUUCGAUGCAACGCGAAGAACCUUACCUGGUCUUGACAUCCACAGAACUUUCCAGAGAUGGAUUGGUGCCUUCGGGAACUGUGAGACAGGUGCUGCAUGGCUGUCGUCAGCUCGUGUUGUGAAAUGUUGGGUUAAGUCCCGCAACGAGCGCAACCCUUAUCCUUUGUUGCCAGCGGUUAGGCCGGGAACUCAAAGGAGACUGCCAGUGAUAAACUGGAGGAAGGUGGGGAUGACGUCAAGUCAUCAUGGCCCUUACGACCAGGGCUACACACGUGCUACAAUGGCAUAUACAAAGAGAAGCGACCUCGCGAGAGCAAGCGGACCUCAUAAAGUAUGUCGUAGUCCGGAUUGGAGUCUGCAACUCGACUCCAUGAAGUCGGAAUCGCUAGUAAUCGUAGAUCAGAAUGCUACGGUGAAUACGUUCCCGGGCCUUGUACACACCGCCCGUCACACCAUGGGAGUGGGUUGCAAAAGAAGUAGGUAGCUUAACCUUCGGGAGGGCGCUUACCACUUUGUGAUUCAUGACUGGGGUGAAGUCGUAACAAGGUAACCGUAGGGGAACCUGCGGUUGGAUCACCUCCUUACCUUAAAGAA
rnacentral:rRNA from 1 species